rnacentral:rRNA from 1 species
UACGGGGGGGGCAAGCGUUGUUCGGAAUUACUGGGCGUAAAGGGCUCGUAGGUGGCCAACUAAGUCAGACGUGAAAUCCCUCAGCUUAACUGGGGAACUGCGUCUGAUACUGGAUGGCUUGAGUUUGGGAGAGGGAUGCGGAAUUCCAGGUGUAGCGGUGAAAUGCGUAGAUAUCUGGAGGAACACCGGUGGCGAAGGCGGGUCUCUGGGCCGAUACUGACGCUGAGGAGCGAAAGCGUGGGGAGCAAACAGG